AACGAACGCUGGCGGCAUGCCUAACACAUGCAAGUCGAACGACACCUUCGGAUCUAGUGGCUCUUGGGUGCGUAACGUGUGGGACCCUGCCCUUAUGUUCGGAAUUACUCCUUGUCAGGGGUGCUAAUAUAGGAUAAUGUCUUCGGAUAACAGAUUUAACGUGUUUGUAUGUGCCCGCGUUGUAUUAGCUAGUUGGUAUGGUAAAAGCCUACCAAGGCGACGAUCCAUAGCUGGUCUGAGAGAAAGAGCAGCCACACUGGGACUAAGAAACGGCGGAGAAUACUAUGGGAUGCAGGAGAGGGGAAUAUAGGAAAAUGGGCGAAAGCCAGAACCAGCAAUGCCGCGUGAGUGAUGAAGGCCUGAGAGUAGAAAAGCUCUUUUACACGGGAUGAUAAUGACAGUACCGGGAGAAUAAGCUCCGGCUAACUCCGUG
rnacentral:rRNA from 1 species